rnacentral:rRNA from 1 species
CCUACGGGAGGCAGCAGUGGGGAAUCUUGGGCAAUGGGGGAAACCCUGAUGCAGCGACGCCGCGUGAGUGAAGAAGUAUUUCGGUACGUAAAGCUCUAUCAGCAGGGAAGAAAAUGACGGUACCUGACUAAGAAGCCCCGGCUAACUACGUGCCAGCAGCCGCGGUAAUACGUAGGGGGCAAGCGUUAUCCGGAUUUACUGGGUGUAAAGGGAGCGUAGACGGCAGCGCAAGUCUGGAGUGAAAUCCCAUGGCUUAACCAUGGAACUGCUUUGGAAACUGUGCAGCUAGAGUGCAGGAGAGGUAAGCGGAAUUCCUAGUGUAGCGGUGAAAUGCGUAGAUAUUAGGAGGAACACCAGUGGCGAAGGCGGCUUACUGGACUGUAACUGACGUUGAGGCUCGAAAGCGUGGGGAGCAAACAGGAUUAGAUACCCUUGUAGUC